rnacentral:rRNA from 1 species
UACGUAGGGGCCAAGCGUUGUCCGGAUUUAUUGGGCGUAAAGAGCUCGUAGGCGGUUCGGCAAGUCAGCUGUGAAAUCUCCACGCUCAACGUGGAGGGGUCAGCUGAUACUGCUGUGACUCGAGUCCGGUAGGGGAGUGUGGAAUUCCCGGUGUAGCGGUGAAAUGCGCAGAUAUCGGUAGGAACACCAGUGGCGAAGGCGGCUUCCUGGCCCACUCUUGACGCUGAGGCGCGAAAGCUGGGGGAGCGAACGGG